AAGUAAAAGUUUUGAACUACUCAAGAUUCGUAAUUUAACAUAACUUUUAUUUCUGAAUAUUCUAUUUUUAAGUGGUAGAACCUGCAGAUUCUUUCACAAAACACUUAUCAAUUCUUAUAAAUAAUGGUAAAUUCCCUUUGAAUCCAGAAAAAGUACACAGGAACAUUUUACACACCCAAGUCAAACCCCAAGGCCAAUUUGAAUAAAGUGAAAUUUGGUUAACAUGACAAGUUAACUUUUGUCAUCCUUUACUGAAAUAAUUUUUUGACAGCAUUUUUUAUAUGUUGGAAAUAGGUGUUGUUUUUGUUGGUUAAGUAUUUUCAAACUAAGACAUUUCCUGACUUCAUUUACUGCUAUAAAGUUUAUAGUGAUCUUUUAAAAUGAUAAUAUUUUUAAGUAUUAAUGUUCAAAAAUAUGUACUGCAGUAAAUAAAAAAACUAUCAACCUAUUGAUUUCUAAGGUUCACUUUUACUCUACAAUUCUGUCCUUUUCUGUGGGAAUUUUAUAUUUCUUAUAACAGAUGCACCAGAGGGUGCUGUGCUGUUUGCAACAUGAGAUUAUUAUCACUAAGAAUGUGAACUCACUAGAACUUUUAUUUAAAGAAAAAAAUUUUUAAUUAUAUAUGCAUUGAAGCAUAUAAUAGGCUUAUUUUUAUGGAGUUUAACAUACUAUCUUAAUUGGCAGUUUUACAUCAGAACCUAACUUCGUGUACUAAUACAUAUUACCGCAACAUAUAACAAUAUAAAGAUUGAUAUCUUUGGCACUGUCUGGCAUUAGUCCUAUAGGCAUAUAUGUUGAUUAUCUUAUGUAGAUAUUUUAAUCUUUAUUUCAAAACUUAGGUUACCCUGAGAAUCAUACUAUUUGGCGAUAUGUGGCUUUAUACUUCUUAAAUUUCAUAUGAUUAGCACAUAUCAAUAAUUGUCCAUUCUUAUAACACUUUUACAUGGCAUAGUGAUAUGCUUUUUAUUGUAUAAUCUUUAAAAAAACCACUGGAAAAAUAAAUGGCAAUAGUGGUUAUCAGGCUAAUUCAUAAUAAAAUAGUAUUGACAUUAUCUAGAUAAUUCUGGCUGGUUGUAUUGGUUCACAUUUAUAAUCCCAACACUUUGGGACUGAGGCAGAAGGAUCACCUGAGGCUAUGAGUUCAAGAGCAGCCUGGGCAACAUAGCAAGAUUUCAUUUCUGUAAAAAAAAGUAAAAGAAAAUUAGCCAGCCUUGCCGGGUUUUGCUCUGUCACUCAGGCUGGAGUGCAGUGGCAUAGUCAUAGCUCACUGCAGCCUCAAUCUCCUGGGCUCACGUGGUCCUCCUGCCACAGCCUCCUGAGUAGCUAGGACUACAGGCUGUUGCCAUCAUUUUAAAAUUUAAAACAUUUCAAUUUUUUUUUUUUUUGUAGAGACAGGGUCUUGCUACAUUGCCCAGGCUAGAUUUUUGAAAGUAUACUUUAUAGCAAGUUGUAUUGCUUCAAAAUCUUUAUAUUUGUAGUUUUUAUUUCGUAUCAAAUGCAGAGUGUUCUUAGUGAAAACAAAUCAGUUAAAAAUGGAAACGUGUUUAGAGUAUCAAUAAAUAGAGUGCUUGGUCAAGAUUUCUGAAGGUUCUUGGUAAUUCCUGUUUAGGCAAAAAUGAGGUAUUGGGUAAUAGGAGUUGAGCUUAGGAAAACUAAUAGAGUGAGACAGCUGUCCUCAAAAUAAUAGUGUGUUAGUUGGUAAGAGGAGACAGAUACAGUGAAAGAUGAUAAAAGGAGAAAGGACAGCGAGUGACCAGGCCAAGAUAUAAAGGACUUCAAAAAUGCUAGCCAAAGGAGGUUAAAGAGAAAAUAAAGGUUCUCACUCUAUUUCUAACUGUAAAACCUUAGCCUGGUCACUUAUACCCUAUAGGUCUCAGUUUCUCCAUCUGUAACAUGAAACAAUAGGGCUAUGGGAUUUCUAAAGCCCUUUCCAAUCUAUGAUUCUGUAGCAAGAUUGACACUGGGAAAGGGAAGGAAACAUGCCAAUAACAUGGAGCCAGGAAUUGGCAUUUCCCUUACUCAUGUUCUCAAAGGCUAGCAAGUUGUUUGCUUAUUGUUUCUUCUGGAACCUGAAUUUUGAUUUAGUCAUGCACAAAUUUUAGAAAGGAAUUAAAAAGACUGGUGAGAAAAUCUAGUUCAUAAGCAAGCACAGCAUUUCUCUUAUUAUUUAUUAUUUUUGUUUUUAUGGGUACAUGUUAAGGGUAUAUAUUUAAGGGAUAUUUCGAUACAUGCAUACAAAGCAUAGUAGUCACGUAAGAAAACUGAGGUCCUGGUAUGCACGUCUUUACUUUUUUGAUGAGGGGGGAGAGAUCUAAAUAAUAUACUUUUAGAUUGAACUAUAUUUCUGAUAUAUCAACAUAUAUACUGACUCAUAAAUUAGAAUGGAAAAUACAAAUAUUGAAAGUGUAAUUCAAAUGAAUAGAAAGUGCUAAAUACUUGCAAGCCUUAAAUUGGGAUUUGAAUAUAGAGAUUGAGUUACCAGAGUAACUAAAUACUAGACUGCUGUAUUUGUUGGAUGUGCAGAGAAGGAAACUCAAAUAUGGAACGUGGUCUUAAUGUCUUAUGAAUCAUUUUUACUUAACUUUUAAAAUUCAGAUUAAUAGAGUCCUCUAAAAAGAAGGUUUUUUUGAAUUUUUAGAAAUAGCUCAGAGUUUUACGUUUCCCUCUGUCAGAAUCUUUUCAGGAUUCCUCAUUGCCUCUUCGUCAGAGUCGUUUAAGAAAUAUUUAUUAGUUAUCACAGUGUCCCACAGAACAACCACAGUCUUUGCUGUUAGGAAGCUUAUAGUCUCAUGUCCAUUUUCAAACUUGUAUUUCACCACUUUUCUCUGUACUUCCCCUUUUUUGACCAGUCUACAUUUCGUAUCUGUGGGAUCUGCAUUUGUGAAUUCAACCAGCUGAGGAUGGGAAACACUUGAAAAAAGAAAACAAUAUAUAACAACACAACAAUAAAAAAAGUAAAUACAGUAUAACAACUUUAUAUAGCACUUACAUUGUAUUAGGAAUUAUAAUUAAUCUAGAGAUGAUUUAAAGUAUACACGGGAGGAUGUGUACAGGCUAUACACAAAUACUAUGCUAUUUUAUAUAAGAGAGUUGGGCACCCUUUUUUAAGAUGGAGGUCCUGGAACCAAUUCCCCAUGGUUACGGAGGGACAACUGUAUUAUGUAUUGGUUAAGAGCAUGAACUUCAAAAUGAACAGCCCUGGGUGUGAAUUCGAGCUCUGCCACUGACUAGCAGUUUAAUGUUAGGCAGAUUACUUAAAUUCUGUGAAAUAGGAUUAAUAAAAUCAACCUGAAAAGAUUGUUUCAAAGACAGUAUAUGACAUAGUCAAAAUAGCACUGUGCCUGACAUGUUUCUAUCCUGAAAGGCCGGUUCAAUGAUUAUACUUGCAAAUAUGCCCAGGCAUUUAUGUCUGAAGUGAGUCAGCUGUGCACACAUUUUCUCAAGCUGUGGGCCAGAGUCUGUUGAAGACGAGUACCUGGUUAUUUCUGACAUUAAAAAAGUAAAAAAUUAAGCAAAAUUUAGUAUCUCCACUUGUUUGUACCACCGUUGUGUUUAUGAAAAGAUAUGUGAGGUAUAAGAGACUUUGGUGACCAAUGAGUCUUCUCUCAUGUUUUUCCUCGUAACUCUUUUGAUUAGGAAACAUCUAAGCAUAUUACAGCAUAGAGCAGUUUGAUGAAAUGAUGAAGUGAAUUUCCAUGUAUCCAUCACUCUCCUUUAAAGUUAACAACUUAUGGUUAAUCUGGUUCCAGCUAUAAUCAUUUAUUCCCCACCUAUCUUAUUAUUCCCAUUGCUUUUUACCUUUGGAAAGAGAACCGACAUAGAUGACUCAGGGCUAACAUUCACAUUGCCAGUCCAUUGCUCUGCCUUGUAUGUUGUGUUAUCUACCCUGUGGAUGGAAGGGAAGGUGGGUAAAUGGAGAUGAAGCAAAUGUAAUAGGGUGUUACUAGUCCAAGAAAACUGGAAUUUGCCAAAAAGAGGCUAAUUGCAUGGUGGAAUAUGUUAUUUUAUAUAGCUACAUAGUAUAUAGUUUCUUUUACGAAUGCCACACUUAAUUAUAUUGAAGCUUUGUAGCCUUGAGGAGACAAGGACCCAAUGAAUACCAGAAGGCACAUUCCAAUGACACUGCCAAUAUAGAUAUCCAUACCUGUUGGUUUUAUUUUUGCCAUUUAGUUAAUAGUAUUGACAGGGUCCUAAGUAUUCAUGUAACCAGUUUAGAACUUUGAUUCUUUAAGAUCAGAUCCUUAACAGAAUUAUUGAAUAUACUCAACUAAUAAUUGACUAAGUAUUAAAUAACUGUUUUGGAAGUUAACACAUUUGCCUAACACGUGCCUUGUGACUAGUAUACUCCUCAGUAGAAUCUGACUUUAAUAACUUUAUUGACUAGUGUGUGUGUAUGUGUAGUGCGUGUGUUUGAAUGAUUUGUUCUUAUUUGGGAAAUAUCAAUUUUAAUUACUUUUAAAAGGUUUUCAUACAUUAGGCCCUAUGGAAUCAAGUUAAAUUUUUCUUGUCAUACAGGAGAACUAGAAAGUAUUCAAAUUAAUUCUUUGUAAAAUUAAGUGGAGCCUUUAAGUUACUAAUCUUGGUUUUUACAUUGUGUCUGCUGACAUCACUGAAUCUUUUAAGAACUUUUUUUUCUGAGUUGCAUUUGUUUUAAGAAGGAUGAAGCAAGGAAUAUAUAAUUAUUGAAUAUAAACUUUCAUAUUUGUUUUCUCUUUUUUCCUUUUCUUUUCAUCCGGAAAAUGAAUCCACAUUUCUUUUAACAAAUCCUCUUUCAGUUCUCUUUCUAACACGUUCUUGUCCGUCAUUUUCUUCUACCUCUUUUCUCCCAUUUGCUCUGCUGUGCUGUGCUUUGCUUUGCUAUGCGCUGUUUCAGUUCUAAACCACCUUAGUGAACCCAUUCUCUUCUUGCUUCAUCCUCAGUUCUUUGGUCAGAUGUUGCCUUUACACCUCUCAGUGUACUUCAGCUCUCCUUUAUUGUUGAUUUCUUGGCCUUUCUUUUUUGGAUAGUUGUUCCACAUUCCUCUGUUUGUUGCUCUGGGGUACUUUUAGAGAAAUAGUUAAUUUCUUUUACUCUGCUUCCUGUAGUGUGUAAUGAGAAGAAAUGAAAGCAACCAUUGAAGGACAGAUAACUGGCUCUUUAAAAAGGAAUAAGGUAGUGCAGUUGACAGGUUAUUUAAAGGGUUCCCAGCUCAGAAUAGUUAAGUUGAAGGGCUAAAUGGUUCCAAGAAUGUAGAGAAAAUGUCUCACUUAAAAAAAAUUAACUUUCCAAAGUUGCAGCAGCUCCUUGUAGUUUUAUGUGAUUCAAGGGAUGUUCAUAUAAAACUGAUGAUUAUGAUAAACUUAAAAUUUAUCUAAGAAAACAGGCUAUUUGAACUGUACAUGAACAACAUUUUUUGAAAUUAAGAACUAAUAAGUAGUGGAGCACAGAAUUUAUUAAAGAAGAGUAAAGUGUUAAAAUAUAUAAUCCUUUACAGCGACAGUAAAAGUAUCGGUGAUAUUCCUAAGAGUGUAACAUUGUGCUGUAAGUUAACAUUUCUCCUUUGUGUCCUUUAGUAUGUGAUUGCUAAUGUAGACGUGAAAAGGAGAUUAAUUCAGAUACAUUCACAACCUGAAACAAGAUGCUUCCAUCAAAAGAAUCAGAUCCUCAUAUAGCUGCUAGAGUUGGAACUACAGUCUUUGACAGCAAUAAGCUGUAAAUAUACACACAUGCUAAUACCCUUGAUUUGUUCAUCUUUUGUGUCAGCAUUUGGAAAAGAUUGUUAAAGUGGCAGUUAUAGUAAAGACGGGCAAUUACAGUAAAGAGCAGAAAUUAGGUAUUUGUGACCUAUUAUAUUUCAUUAAAAGACUUCCUUAUUAAAAUGGCACUGCUUACUCUGAUUACUUGACAGCUGCCCUAAACAGAUUAGAAAAUACACAGCUUCAGCUAAAGGUAAAAUCAGCCUCUUUAAGCAAGCUUAUGGCAUAGAACAAGUAAAUGGUAUAGUGUAAGCAAUUUUUUUGUAACACUUUUGCUUGAGGUAGAGAUGUUUGUCAGUGAUUAAGUGGUGUAUUCUUUCACAUUCCUGUAAUAAUAGUUUGUCCACAGUGGCAUUUCCCAUUGAGAUAUUUUUAUACACCCAUCUGAUAUCAUACUAGUUCCUACUAGUAUGAGGCAUCCUAGUUCGAGAGAUCAGCAUGACUUCACCAAAAAAUCUUUUUCCUGCUAAGUGAUGAGUUACAGCUCCAGUUCAAUGUAAAUACUGCCUUUACCAGGCAAAAACUCUAAUUUUUGGAAGUUUCACCACGAGGUUAUCAGUUUUUUUCUUUAUCCUUUAAUAAUCCACUGGAGCCACUGUGAAUUUAAUAUUUAAAUUUGGGCAUCACUUUCAGAACAUUUAAUUGUUUGCUUAUUUAGAGAAGAAUUCCUUGUGGCACUUGUUACCUUCAAGAUAUUUCUAUUUACUUUGUUAUAUAGUAUAGUGACUGUAGCACUUUAUAGAAUAGUACUGCCUAUCAAUUGUUCAGAUUGUAGUUUAGCAGUUAAGUAGCCUGAAUUGGUACAUAUUGUAACAUUUCAAGACUUUGUCACUAUAUUUCACAUCACGAGGUAUGGCAUAAACACUGUAGAUCAGCCUGUGAGUAUCAAAUCACAGCUCACUCUUGAAGACACAAACACAGGUUCAGUAUGAAGCAGAUUUGUGGGAAGAUUACCUCCUGCAACUAAUCUUGAAUGUAGAUUUUUGUCAGGACUGUCACAACAUUAAUAGAAGGCUUGUUGUAGUACUUGCAUGGAUCUGUGAAAUUUCCACAAAGAUGCAAACUGUGCUGUAUGAGACAGUUGUAUGCCAGUUCCACAUACACAAGUAUCUUUAACUUACAUAUUUAGUGUAAUUUUUUUAAUCUGAUGCAUCUUGCAUGAAGUGUGUUAGCUUGCAAAAUUGUUAGGGAAAAAUGUGGGUUCUUUUGAAUAAGGGAAACCAGAGUUCAAAUCCUGGUUUUGUCAUUUGAUAGCUAAUUAUCCUUAAAUAAGUUCCUUAACUGCCUUGAUCCCAGAUUUUUAAUGUAAAAAUGGGAAUAUUACCUGAAAGAUAAAGUGAAAGGGAAAAUGAGAUAAGCGUAUAGAGAGAGCUUAACGUGAUAGUACAGAAUUAGUAGUUGAACUGUGGAAGCUAGUAUUCUUAUUUUCAUCUUUCUGGCUUAGUCUUUGUGGUAUAGGAUAUGAGGAGAGUUUUGCAGGAGAGGGUAGCAGCUGAAAAUAGUAACAUGGCAGUAGACAAUCAGAAACAAAAUUGUUUUCAAAGAGGAAUGUUAUGUACUGUAUGUUAAGUCAUUUUCAGUAUUGAUGGGUAUAGAUAGAUACAACUAUGAUUUACUGAAGCCUUACCAGCUGGAGAGAGCCACUGUUGCUCAUCUCUUCUUAAUUCUGCAUUCAGAAUGUCACAUUUCUAGCUUGAAAAGUAGCCAUUCCAGAAGUAUACACACCAUGGAAAUUAGUAGAAAUCACAAAUCUGACUUUUUUUGGUGGGGAGGGAAAGAGUGGAAUGUUGGUUUUAAACAUUUAUCAGUACAUGACUGGAUAUAACACAUCCCAACAAAAGUUCUUUGGGAUUCUCAAAAAAUUUAAGAUCUGAAGGGGUUCCAGGUCAACAACUCUGCUUAUCACAAAAGAACUGCUGCUUGUUACUAUACUAUGCAAAUUUAACACCAGAGUCUAUGCAAAUAUAUGAUUGAGGCAGAAUUUUCAGCCAGGUACUCUGUCUCUAGAGCCACUUUACCAGUCUUUUUUUCUAUAGUGUCUUCUAACAAGAUUAAUUCCACAAAGUGAUUUGAAGUUAAAAGAUACGUGAUAUCUUCUGUGGCUCUCAUCAUACUAAGUACAUAGAUUAAUUACUUGUUGACUGCUUUGAGACUAUCAGUAUUAUGGGGGUAUAGAAAAAUGGAAAGAAAAAGGGUUAUGGGCUUGAGUGGUUAGGGAAACCUUCAGAGAUGAGUCUACCUCCAUUUUUCAUAUCCUGGGCUCUUUGCCAUAGCAUGCCCACAAGAUCAUCCUGCAGGCAAUGUUGCCCCACCCCUUGCAAGCUAUCUGUUGACUACCCUGUAGGCGUAGAGUUGAGUAUGCCUGAAUCUCCAUCUGUCAUGAGGAGUAUAGUCAAGAACUUUGCAUGGGAAUUUGGGGUCCUGGGAAUGUGCUGAAGUAGAGUCUGAAGGACUCGGGGAGCAUGGCCCUGGGCUGUGCAGACUUCUUGCCUCCCAAGGAGGUACCUGGCCAGAGGGCCAAAGCAAGCUCUCUAAAGUGAGUGGCCCAAGGGCAAUGGGCCCUCUCGCCUGAGUCUCACGGUUGUGCUGGAAGGGACAUCUGACAUGAGUGUCAAAUGAGCAGGGCUUAUUUACUCUUAGUUAUGGGGUAUGAGAAAAUGUGAGUGAAAAAAGAUGAAAGAUCACUGGGUUUCAGGAGAAUUAUGGAGCCACUGAGAAAGUAGGACAGUAUUUGGGAGUUGGUAGAAUGGGACCUGAAUGUAGAAUAGCCAUGUUUUGCUCACCGUUAUAUCCUCCAGCACCUAAUUACCUUCUAGCACAUUGCCAAGCAUCUAGUACUGAUUCAAUAAAUUUUGAAGGGCAGAGUAGAUAUUUUGAAUAGUUGUGCCAGAGAUGAAAAUAAAGUCAUUGUAGAAUAUAGAAAGAAACAAGGAAAAUAAGGUCUUGUGGGUGAGGCCAAUGUAGCACUUUGGAUUGUAGGUAGAUAGCAUCGAUUAGCAUGGUCAUCUGUAAACUAUUAGUAUGGGGAGACUGUAUUAUAUAUUUAAUUUUUGUAUGUGUGAUACCAAACAACUAGUCUUUCUUAAAUGAAUAAUUGAAUAAUAUACAAGAAGGAACUUUUAAGAAAUGAAUUGGAUUUUAAAGUUAAGAUGAGUGACAGAAAUUUGUAUCAUCAGUAAACUGGUAUACCUGAGGAAGUUGUAAUCAUAAAAAACAAAGAGAUCCUAAGCAACUGUGGUUUUUGCUCACAAUGAGAUAUGAAACAGUGAAAGAUAUGUUCAAAGAAUAGGUUUUAUUUGUAACCUAUUUGGAAAGAAGAACACAGAUGACUGUAGACUGGCCUAAAAUUUUCACUUGAUAUUUGCAAGGUGUAUAUAGGGAAAGGUAGUAGGAGAAAAGGAUUAGAAGUAAUGGAGUAGGGUGAAUUAUAAACAUUUAUAACUGCAGAUAUGUUUGACUCAUGUUGCUCAAAAUUGUUAAGAAGUAUUGUGUAGUCGUUUAGUUAAUAACAUAUAAGGCCUCAUGUCAGAAAAUAUACUGAGAGUAAAGUAAGAAAAUGUAAUAAUAUGGUUAAAAUUGCCAAAUUCUUUUCGAGAAUCCAAGUGUGUUGAUUAUUGUAGAUUAUUACAUUUUUGAUGUAUCUGGUUUGUUAUCACCUAAAUACACAGCAAACACCUGUGAUUGUUUUAGUGAUCCUUGUCCUGUCUUCUUCAAGUAAUCUCAAAUAUGUGUAUUUAGACUGUUGCCUAUUCAUAUAUACUCAGCUGUGCCUGUUUGCUUUGUUACUUUUCUAUGUCUAAUGGAGCAAUAUAAAAAUUUAUGGCAACUGUCACUUAAUGUCACCUUUACCUUUAAAGAAAAAAGGUAAAGCCAAAUCAUGCCGGGUAACUACGAUGCUCUUUAUAGUUAACUAAAUUAUCAGAUAUACGUUGUAAUAAGUUGAUCUCUGAUAUCAUGGGCCAAAUUUAGGGAACAUACAUAAACACAUACAUGUAAGUAUGUUUGUAUAUCAUUGCUACUCCACAUUUACUUUAUUAGCCAAUAAAGAUCAUUAGUUUAAAAAUAACUUGUGUAUUCUCC
rnacentral:lncRNA from 1 species